GGGCCGCUAGCUCAGCUGGUAGAGCAACGGACUUUUAAUCCGUAGGUCCCAGGUUCGAGUCCUGGGCGGCUCACCA
rnacentral:tRNA from 1 species